ensembl:lncRNA novel transcript
UGCCAGACAGUGGGCGCACGCAGGAUACUCAAACUUGAAACCAACCUACCUUAUCGUGAGGAAGCCUGGUUCAAAUGGAGAGGCCAAUGUAGGUGUACAACAGACAGUCCCAGCUGAAAGGCCCAGCUUGCACACAACAUCACUGCCAGACGAAUGAGAAGGGCCUUAUGAUGAUUCCAGCAUCAGACAUUUGACUUGGCCCAGCUUUUGCUGAACUGCAUCUUGUCAUCAUGAGAGGUGAAGCCAGCUGGGCUUCUAGGUCUGGUGGAGACUUGGAGAACUUCUGUGUCUAGCUAAAGGAUUGUAAAUGUACCAAGCAUCCCUCUGUGUCUAGCUAAAGGAUUGUAAACGUGCAAAUCAGCACUCUGUAAAAUGGACCAAUCAGCACUCUGUAAAAUGGACCAAUCAACAGGAUGUGGGCGGGGCCAAAUAAGGGAAUAAAAGCUGGCCACUGCGCCAGCAGCGGCAACUUGGUUGGGUCCCCUUCCACGCUGUGGAAGGUUUGUUCUUUUGCUCUUCACAAUAAAUCUUGCUGCUGCUCACUCUUUGGGUCCGCACCACCUUUAAGAGCUGUAACACUCGCUGCAAAGGUCAGCAGCUUCAUUCUUGAAGUCAGUGAGACCACGAACUCACCAGAAGGAAGAAACUCUGGACACAUGUGAAGGGACAAGCACCGGACACACCAUCUUUAAGAGCUAUAACACCCACCAUGAAGGUCCAUGGCUUCAUUUUUGAAGUCAGUGAGACCAAGAACCCACCAGAAGGAAUAAAUUCUGGACACAAUCAUUGUGAGCAGCCUAGAGAGAAAGCAUGCAGUAUGUGUUCAUUAUUCACCAUAGAGUCCUGUAGGGUAUAAUUGUCUAAAUUGACCUGUGGUAAAUCCUUAAAAUAUAUUUAGUGGUGAAAUCAUCCAUAUUUAUUCCAAAAUUAAUAACUCUUUUUGGAUAAGAAAGCUUUGGAAAAACCUUUUUUAGAGUGCAUUUGGAAAAAACUUCAACAAAUUUCCCUGAUUAAAUUAAAUUUGAGUUAUUCAGAUCUUUCCCUCUGAUUUGAAAUCAUAAAGUUUAAUGAUGCAUUUGAAAGAAUUAAGUUAAAAAUAUCUACAAGAAAUUGAACAGUCCUGAAGACUACAGUGCCAAGCAGACUAGGUAUCUUUUCUGUUCUGUUGGAAGCUCAAAAUAAAUAUGAAAGAGGCCAAAAGAAAAGAAGUGGAGGAUUUUCUUCAGGCUUGGGUAACAACAUUUGUCAGUAGGUUCUGAAGUAUCAGAAUCUCUUUGAAACUGGCCCAGUACUCCCAUAGACUGUUCUUUUUGAUAAACAUAGAAAUUGAACCUUCUGUUGUUAAAGUUUAAAACCUGUAUUUGUUUUAUCUGAGUUCCUUCCUCAGGGAAAGACCUUCAGGCCUCUCAAAAAAAGUAUCAAAGAACUGAAACUCACCAGAUCACUGCACCAGAUGCCUCCUUGCCUCUCCCUAGUUCCUGUUUUCUUACACAUUGUUACAUUUCUUCUCUGCUACAUAAACCCCUAGUUUUAGUCAUUCAGGGAGAUGAAUUUGAGACUGAGCUCCCAUCUCCUUGGUUGCAACACCUGAUUAAAGAAAGCCUUCUUCCUUGGCAAUACUUACUGUCUCAGUGAUUGGCUUUCUGUGCUACGAGCAGCAGGACUAGACCAAAGCCCCUGUGUUUUGGUAACAGAUUUUGGUUCUUUGAUUGGGAAGACAUUGCUUGUGGCUUGGUUGCUGUGGGCCAGAAGUCCCAGAAGUGCUCCUAAGCAGUUGCCCACCCAAUUUCGGCUGGAGGUGAGUUUCUGUCUCUCUCUGGCCCCACAAGCGCUGACCCUAACCACGUUCCUGAUUGCCUUGGAUGAACUGACUUUGAAAUUUGACAUCUGCAUCCCAAUAGGUGAGUGUCUUUUGUGGGUCCGGACAGCAGGAUAUACUCCUCCCUAUUAAUUUUUAAAGGAAUUUCCAUUUGCAAAACAAGCCCAACUAAUUGAGAGAGGAGAACAACCUGUUUUAGUGUGGACAGUCUUGGGGGUUUUCUGUAAUUGUGUGUUGUGUCUGGGCAAGUGAGUUUCUUUUAUGGGUACCAGACAACAGGGUCAGCUCUUCUCAAUAUAGGAAAUUCCUAAGGAAUUUUUGUUUGCACUUGAUCAAGCCCAGCUGAUAGAGAGAGGAAGCACCCUGUUUCAGUUUGGACACUCUUGGGGCUUCUUUGUUGCUGCAGCAGUAGGAUUGUGUUUUGGUGAUUGUGUGUGUGUUUGCUAUAUUAUAGUCAUGAGGAAUUAGAAUUCAGUAAACUUGAUAUUCUUUUGCAACACUGUUUGCCCCAAUAUUGCUUGGAAUCUGGAGUUUGCUGUUUAAUAGGAAAGUGGGAUGGAGUUGCAUGUAUUCAGGCUUUUGCACUGCUUUUUAAAGCAGGGUUGGGCCUGGGUUGUAUGUGAUGUUCUCCUUUGGUACUGUUUGGCCUCACUGUUCUAUGGAAUCUGGGGAAGUUUGGCCUUUAAAAAUGAAACUGCCAUGAAAACUGCUUUACACAAAGUUUUGAUUCACAGUGUUCAUUGGAUUACCUAAUCCAGUGAAUCAUUUGGCAAACAAAGUGUAACCAUGUUAAACCGUGAGUUUGUAUUGCUAUCUCAUGGAUAAAGUUCCAAGGUAAAAGCUAUUGAAUUUUUGUUUGUGUGUUUAUAUAUGUCUAGAUGUGUUUAUUUGUAUUCACAUUUAUUGUUAUAUGUUG